UAUCAUCAAAAGAUUUGGGAAGAAGCUCAGAACUUUUGCAGAGUGCGUUACACGGACCUGGCCAGUGUGAGGCAUGAGGCUGAACUUCAGAAAAUACUGAGCAUCAUGAACGAGGAUGAGGUAUGGAUAGGUCUGUAUAGGAACCGAUUAUGGUCAGAUCAGAGCAAUUCAACCUUCACAUAUUGGAGACCAGAGAGUCCAGAACCAACAGCAGAGCCUGAUAAUGGUGUGAAUUCACCUGGACAAAUUGGAAGCCAACACUGUACAGCUGUGGAUCAUUCUGGCCAAUGGACAGAUGAAAACUGUUUAGCUAGAUUCCCUUUUAUCUGCUACACUGUUGGCAAUAGCAAUGAAGCUGGACCAGAUAUUAUCGUAACCUAAACCUGUCUUCCUUGUGCUCUGGAAGCAUUCACUCCAGCUUCAGCAAGAAUUGAGCAGACUGGGACUUUCAAGCAACUACACUGUGAUCCUGAGAAACAUUUGUAAGCUCGGUCUAUAAAGGAAAAAAAUACACUCGGGUUUAAAACAUAUCUGAGACAUUUUCUAGAUUUUGUGGUGCUUUAUCUUUUAUUUAAUCAUUGGUUCAGCAACCUUUCUUUUCCAGAGCUGUUGGGA